CCUACGGGAGGCAGCAGUGAGGAAUAUUGGUCAAUGGACGAGAGUCUGAACCAGCCAAGUAGCGUGAAGGAUGACUGCCCUAUGGGUUGUAAACUUCUUUUAUAUGGGACUAAAAUGUUCCACGUUUGGGAUUUUGUAUGUACCAUCUGAAUAAGGAUAGGCUAACUCCGUGCCAGCAGCCGCGGUAAUACGGCGGUUCCGAGCGUUAUCCGGAUUUAUUGGGUUUAAAGGGAGCGUAUGUGGAUUGUUAAGUCAGUUGUGAAAGUUUGCGGCUCAACCGUAAAAUUGCAGUUGAAACUGGCAGUCUUGAGUACAGUAGAGGUGGGCGGAAGUCGGGGUGUAGCGGUGAAAUGCUUAGAUAUUACGAAGAACGCCGAUUGCGAAGGCAGCUCACUGGACUGCAACUGACACUGAGGCUCGAAAGUGUGGGUAUCAAACAGGAGUAGAGACCCUUGUAGUC
rnacentral:rRNA from 1 species